CUAGCCUAUUGGUGCUCUUAAUCCCAAACGAGCUGCAUUCUUUGCAGAACGCUACGAAACAUGGGAAGAUGAUCAAGUUCCAAAGUUUCAUUAUGGCACUCAUUAUUCAACAGCCAGCUUUGCACUCACUUGGUUGUUAAGAAUUGAGCCUUUUACAACAUUUUUCCUGAACUUACAAGGUGGGAAGUUUGAUCAUGCAGAUAGAGCUUUCUCAUCAGUUUCAAGGGCAUGGCGCAAUUGUCAACGUGACACAUCAGAUAUAAAGGAGCUUGUUCCUGAAUUUUAUUAUCUACCUGAGAUGUUUGUCAAUUUCAAUAAUUACAAUCUUGGAGUGAUGGAUGAUGGAACAGUGGUGUCUGAUGUUGAACUUCCACCAUGGGCCAAAACCCCAGAAGAAUUUGUUCGCAUAAAUA